UCCUCGGUAGUAAAGUUGUGGGUAUCCGCGCCUGUCAAGCGGGAGACCGGGGUUCAAUUCUCCGCCGGGGAG
rfam:Daphnia pulex DAPPTscaffold_227_Cont7435, whole genome shotgun sequence.